ACAGCUCAGUAACACGUGGACAACCUACCCAAAGGUCUGGGAUAACUCCGGGAAACUGGGGAUAAUACCGGAUAGGUCAAGAGUACUGGAAGGGAUUUUUGAUUGAAAGCUCUGGCGCCUUUGGAUGGGUCUGCGGCUGAUUAGGUUGACGCCGGUGUAAAGUACCGGCGUGCCGAUUAUCAGUACGGGUUGUGGGAGCAAGAGCCCGGAGAUGGAUUCUGAGACACGAAUCCAGGCCCUACGGGGCGCAGCAGGCGCGAAAACUCUACAAUGCAGGCAACUGCGAUAGGGGAACAUCGAGUGGCAUCUACAUUAGGUGUCUGUCCAGCUGUCUAAAAAACGGCUGUUAGCAAGGGCCGGGCAAGACCGGUGCCAGCCGCCGCGGUAAUACCGGCGGCUCGAGUGGUGGCCGAUAUUAUUGAGUCUAAAGGGUCCGUAGCCGGCUUUGCAAGUCUUGUGGGAAAUCCAGCGGCUUAACCGUUGGGCGUCUGCGGGAUACUACAUUGCUUGGGACUGGGAGAGGUAGGAGGUACUCAGGGGGUAGGAGUGAAAUCCUGUAAUCCUCUGGGGACCACCGGUGGCGAAGGCGUCCUACCAGAACAGGUCCGACGGUGAGGGACGAAAGCUAGGGGCACGAACCGGAUUAGAUACCCGGGUAGUCCUAGCCGUAAACGAUGCCCGCUAGGUGUCACGGCAGUCGUGAACUGCCGUGGUGCCGUAGGGAAGCCGUGAAGCGGGCCACUUGGGAAGUACGACCGCAAGGUUGAAACUUAAAAGGAAUUGGCGGGGGAGCAC
rnacentral:rRNA from 1 species